UACGGAGGAUGCAAGCGUUAUCCGGAAUGAUUGGGCGUAAAGCGUCCGCAGGUGGCUGUGUAAGUCUGCUGUUAAAGAGUGAGGCUCAACCUCAUAAAAGCAGUGGAAACUACACAGCUAGAGUGCGUUCGGGGCAGAGGGAAUUCCUGGUGUAGCGGUGAAAUGCGUAGAGAUCAGGAAGAACACCGGUGGCGAAGGCGGGCAUCUGGGCUACCACUGACGCUGAGGCGCGAAAGCUAGGGGAGCAAACAGG
rnacentral:rRNA from 1 species